AGUUGUAUUCCCAAUGACUUGGUGGAGGAGAUUAAGGACCUAAGUAAGAAGAUGAGAAACAGCCAGACCUCUCCAUUCCACGACCUUUAUGUUCAGCAGCACUCGGAUGUCAGUAUUUUGUAUGCAGACAUUGUGAACUUUACACCUUUGGCUGCUGAAUGCACUGCAGAGGAACUGGUCAAGAUGUUAAAUGAACUCUUUGGUCGUUUUGACCAACUGGCAAAGAAAAAUCAGUGUAUGAGAAUAAAGAUCCUGGGUGAUUGUUACUACUGUGUGUCAGGACUACCCAACCCUAACCCCAACCAUGCCAUUAAUUGUGUUAAUAUGGGGCUACGCAUGAUUGACGCAAUCAGAGAGGUGAGGGAAGCUACAGGUGUAGAUGUAGACAUGAGGAUUGGGGUACACAGUGGAAUGGUCCUCAGCGGGGUCCUAGGGCUCUGUAAAUGGCAGUACGAUGUCUGGUCAGACGACGUCACCAUCGCUAAUCAUCUAGAAUCCGGAGGAGUUCCUGGCAAAGUGCACAUCACAAAAAGCACCUUGGAAUUCCUAUCCAAUCAGUUUGAGGUAGAGCCGGGAGCUGGUCACAUGAGAGAUGCCUACUUAGCAGAUCAUAAUAUCGAAACCUUCCUAAUCAAGCCGAAAGUCCGAAAGUUUGAUGAGAACAGAACUAUUCGCUCACGCUACGAGAGCAGCCUGCGAGCCUCACUCCGAGUCACCAAGUACCUGGAGAACUGGAACGUAGACAAACCAUUCGCCACCCUCCAUGUCAGUCCCAUGGCAACCAAGCUGCUGAGUGUCACCAGUUUAGCCUUUCUUGAUUCUAACCUUGUAUUGAACAGUAUUGAAAAUGACCAUGGAGUUAUUGGCCCUAGUCAGCAGCUAAAUAUCGAAAUUAAUGCUGAGUUGGCAAAAAAGUCCAAAGAUCUUGUGAAGAAGUAUUCUUUCAAGUCUAUGAAGAAGCCCAAGGAGGAUUUUAACCCGAUCUUAAUGCACUUCAGCCAGCAGCAGGAGGGCGAGUACCAGCACAGACCGGACCCCUCCUUCAAGCUGGGCCUCCUCUGUGCUCUGUUCAUGUUCAUCGGAGUCGUGGUGGUGCAAGCUAUCAUGUCAACCAGAGAUGCCUUAUACAUUGUCAGUAUUGUGUGCGGUUGUGCUGUUUUUGGAUUGGUUAUCACAUGCAGUUUCUUUGCAGAAUGUUUAACACCUGUGAAAGGCAGCCCAUUGACCAAUCGACUGCUAGUAUUGGCCUGUUAUGUGACCAACAGCUUGGCCGCCCGGAUCUGUGUUGCCUCCCUGUGUGUGUUUUGUGUUUUCUUCACCUCUAUUGUGCCUGUGAUAAGUAACCAGUCUCCUCCAGAAGACAGGAGUGCCGUCAACAAUACAAAGGUUUUGUACUGGGCACACAGUAGUCUAUUUGGAAUGGUGACUACCAGCCUCUUUCUACAGAUCAGCCUCACUUUCAAGGUCAUUUUGACCAUCUGUGUUGUUAUUGGUUACAACCUAGCUUUCCAUUUUACCGAAGUAUUCCAAGUUGAAAUGUUUAUAAGAAACAGUAUUGAGCCUCUCGACAUUGCCACGGGGAUGACUGUGUAUCUGGCUGUUUUUGUGCUGACUUUGAUUUUCCAUGACAGACAGGUUGAAUAUGCCAACAGAUUGGAUUUUCUUUGGAGAAGAGAAUUCCAAUCGGAGACUGAGAAGGUCCGGAGUACUGCGGAGCAGAACAAGAAGCUCCUGGAGAACAUCCUGCCUUCCCAUGUAGCUGACUAUUUCCUAAGUGGAAACCGAAGCAAAAAUGAAUUAUAUAGUGAAUCCUAUGACAAUAUUUGUGUUAUGUUUGCAUCGAUUCCUAACUUCAAAGACUUCUACCAUCAGAAUGCAUCAAACAAAAAUGGGAUAGAAUGCAUAAGGGUCCUCAAUGAAAUCCUAGUGGAUUUUGAUCAGCUCCUGUCAAAACCAGAAUUUUCAAACAUAGAGAAGAUUAAGACAAUAGGGAGUACGUACAUGGCCGCGGCGGGCCUACAGCCGGGGCGUGAGAGUGGGAACCAGCACGGGGAGUGCCAGAAAAAUGUCAUCGGAAUGACAGAGUUUGCCCUCAUGAUGAUGGUCAAACUAGAAGAGAUUAAUUUCAACUCGUUCAAUCAGUUCAAACUCAGAGUGGGAAUUAACCAUGGUCCAGUGAUAGCUGGAGUUAUAGGAGCCAGGAAGCCUCAGUAUGAUAUUUGGGGAGACACAGUCAAUGUUGCCAGUCGCAUGGACAGCAGUGGGGAAGCCAGUAAAAUUCAGGUUCCGUUAAAAACAGCAAAUAUACUCAUGGAAGCAGGCUUUAGAUAUGAAUACAAAGGUUUCACCAAAGUGAAAGGCAAAGAGCCGAUGCAAACCUACUUAAUUCUCCCGCCGCCUGCAGACACUUGACAGUCUUGGUUGUAAACGGAGAUGGUCAACUCUACUGACACUCUCAUGUGUUGGUUGUGACAUUAGGCUAGGUUUACAGUAUCUUUAACCAGGUCCAGUAAUAGUGGCCUCUCAGGGUCCUGUAUUUUGUCUUAAUUGUGACAAACUGUACAACUUCGGAAUGGAGAUGAACUACAAUCAAAGAAAAACAAAGCAAAUGUGAUCUAUGGAGAGAGAGAGAGAGAGAGAGCAAACAUUCAAGCACAAAAACAACAAAUCUGUAAAGUGGCGUUAUCCAUUAUGGUUGUGCAUGCAUUUGUAAAUGACUUUUCUACAAGCAAGUUGAUUGAAGUACUGAACUGUAAACAAGUAUCCUGGUUGUAAUGUUUUGUGUAGUAGACAUUUUUUACACAUGCCAUGUGCCAAUUGCCUGAUAUAACAUGUUACUGUGAUUGAUACAAUCAGUAUCGGUAUCAAAUUACUGAAAGGGGAUGAUCUCUACAAUUUGAUUGCCUUUUCUUACUUGAAACAUGGUGUCAAAUGUCUUGAUAUUGCAAUGAUAUUUCUGGACUGAUGAAGACAUAUUAAAUUUGCCAUCAUUUCCUUUUAAUUGUGUGUGUCAAUGUUGUAUAUGUUUUAUUUAUACAUGUACUGUAGAAACAAUUUUGCACUGUGAUACUUUAUUGGGUAUAUUAAAUGAAGACUAUCAGAGCAUUUUUAAAAAAUACUGAUUUAGUCUUCUGCUUGUGUUAUUUUCAUGUGCCCAAUUUUUGAAAUUUUUGAAAGGAAUUUAUUCUAGUUCUGGUAGGUCCUUUUUAUAACAAAAAUUUGAAUAGAAAACCUCCAAUGUUGUACUGGUGGUUGUUUAAUUUGUAGAACAACUAAUACACGCUAGCUAGAAGAUCAAACAUUUCAUCAUGUACUGUAUUUAACUUGCUGGAUGCUAUGUAAUACAGUCAUAAUUAUUUUUGUGUCUAUUUGUAUACUUUCGUAAUAUUUUCAUAUCAAAUAAACAUUUCUAAUCAU
rnacentral:misc_RNA from 1 species